GUGCUUGCUUUGGCAGCACAUAUAGGAAAAUCGGAACAUUACAGAGAAGCUUAGCAUGGCCUCUGUGCAAAGAUGACAUGCAAAUUCCUGAAGCAUUCCAUAUUAAA